GACGAGGCACUACGGUGCUGAAGCAACAAAUGCCCUGCUUCCAGGAAAAGCCUCUAAGCAUCAGGUAACACGAAAUCGUACCCCAAACCGACACAGGUGGUCAGGUAGAGAAUACCAAGGCGCUUGAGAGAACUCGGGUGAAGGAACUAGGCAAAAUGGUGCCGUAACUUCGGGAGAAGGCACGCUGACACGUAGGUGAAGUGAUUUACUCAUGGAGCUGAAGUCAGUCGAAGAUACCAGCUGGCUGCAACUGUUUAUUAAAAACACAGCACUGUGCAAACACGAAAGUGGACGUAUACGGUGUGACGCCUGCCCGGUGCCGGAAGGUUAAUUGAUGGGGUCAGCGUAAGCGAAGCUCCUGAUCGAAGCCCCGGUAAACGGCGGCCGUAACUAUAACGGUCCUAAGGUAGCGAAAUUCCUUGUCGGGUAAGUUCCGACCUGCACGAAUGGCGUAAUGAUGGCCAGGCUGUCUCCACCCGAGACUCAGUGAAAUUGAACUCGCUGUGAAGAUGCAGUGUACCCGCGGCAAGACGGAAAGACCCCGUGAACCUUUACUAUAGCUUGACACUGAACAUUGAGCCUUGAUGUGUAGGAUAGGUGGGAGGCUUUGAAGUGUGGACGCCAGUCUGCAUGGAGCCGACCUUGAAAUACCACCCUUUAAUGUUUGAUGUUCUAACGUGGACCCGUAAUCCGGGUUGCGGACAGUGUCUGGUGGGUAGUUUGACUGGGGCGGUCUCCUCCUAAAGAGUAACGGAGGAGCACGAAGGUUGGCUAAUCCUGGUCGGACAUCAGGAGGUUAGUGCAAUGGCAUAAGCCAGCUUGACUGCGAGCGUGACGGCGCGAGCAGGUGCGAAAGCAGGUCAUAGUGAUCCGGUGGUUCUGAAUGGAAGGGCCAUCGCUCAACGGAUAAAAGGUACUCCGGGGAUAACAGGCUGAUACCGCCCAAGAGUUCAUAUCGACGGCGGUGUUUGGCACCUCGAUGUCGGCUCAUCACAUCCUGGGGCUGAAGUAGGUCCCAAGGGUAUGGCUGUUCGCCAUUUAAAGUGGUACGCGAGCUGGGUUUAGAACGUCGUGAGACAGUUCGGUCCCUAUCUGCCGUGGGCGCUGGAGAACUGAGGGGGGCUGCUCCUAGUACGAGAGGACCGGAGUGGACGCAUCACUGGUGUUCGGGUUGUCAUGCCAAUGGCACUGCCCGGUAGCUAAAUGCGGAAGAGAUAAGUGCUGAAAGCAUCUAAGCACGAAACUUGCCCCGAGAUGAGUUCUCCCUGAGACUUAG
rnacentral:rRNA from 2 species